AAUAGAUACCCCGGUAGUCCACGCCGUAAACAAUGAGUGCUAAGUGUUAGAGGGUUUCCGCCCUUUAGUGCUGCAGCUAACGCAUUAAGCACUCCGCCUGGGGAGUACGGUCGCCAGACUGAAACUCAAAGGAAUUGACGGGGGCCCGCACAAGCGGUGGAGCAUGUGGUUUAAUUCGAAGCAACGCGAAGAACCUUACCAGGUCUUGACAUCCCACUGACCGGUAUAGAGAUAUACCUUUCCCUUCGGGGACAGUGGUGACAGGUGGUGCAUGGUUGUCGUCAGCUCGUGUCGUGAGAUGUUGGGUUAAGUCCCGCAACGAGCGCAACCCUUGAUCUUAGUUGCCAGCAUUUAGUUGGGCACUCUAAGGCGACUGCCGGUGACAAACCGGAGGAAGGUGGGGAUGACGUCAAAUCAUCAUGCCCCUUAUGACCUGGGCUACACACGUGCUACAAUGGAUGGUACAAAGGGCUGCAAGACUGCGAAGUCAAGCCAAUCCCAUAAAACCAUUCUCAGUUCGGAUUGCAGG
rnacentral:rRNA from 1 species